CGGGGCGUGGCGCAGUUUGGCAGCGCGCUUGGUUCGGGACCAAGAGGCCGCGGGUUCAAAUCCCGCCGCUCCGACCA
rnacentral:tRNA from 1 species